UGCAUUUUGAAUCCAGAUUUUCCUUAGGUUGGCCUCUUCGUGCAAGCAUGCCCUCUAUGUGACAAGCAAAUGCCACAACUUUGAACUGGCAACGGCCGCGAUGGCACGGCACCAACGGCCGUCGCAUCAGCCAGAGUCAGUUCCAAUACCGUCUUCGUCAUCGUCCUCAUCAUAGCGUCCAUAGCGUCAUCACCGUCAUCUGCCAAAAACCUCACUAUGCUCACUUCAUACAAACUGUAGACUCUAGAUGGCUCGCAAGAGCUCCUCGAUCUUAUCCAGAUACUGUCCUGGCAGCCAACUACUUCACCAUACAGUUAUGCGGCGCAGUGAAACACUCCUGUCUACUUCAGUCACGGGGUGCUCAAUUGGCGAGCUCAACCACUAAACAACGAAGCACUGCGGGAAAGUCAACCUCUCACAGUGCUGGGGAGAAUACGACAGCGCGUGUGGCGAAAGGAGUGGCACCGGGGAACGACCACAGAGUGCGGUGACGAUGAGCCGUGCGACGGCAGCACUAAGCUCCAACUUGUUGACCAAGCCUUAUUUCGGAACGAUUGAUUAAAACGUGGGUAGGAAAAGUGUUCGGCGUUGUAGAAAUUAGCUUCAGUAACACGACUAGGUGAGCUUGCUGCUACGUAUUUCCCGGCAGACGUAUCUCCGCAAGCCCUCUGACGUUUGCGCAGCAGAGAGGCGACGUGAUCCGAAUCACGGGAGCGCUUUCUCGGACGACGUGGGCGAUGACGAGCGGCCAUUGCGAGCGGCGCCGCGACCUGUCGCACUGCCAUGCGCGGCGCCGCGGCGCUGCGCCGGAUUGUUCUAAAUAAACCGCGGCUCUCGGAGACCCCGACCUUGGCCCGAAAUAAGAGCCGCGAUGGCCGCUGAUAGGAGGUGAGCCAAAUCUUGAAGCAGCCGGGCUUAUUUCCGAUGGCAUGUUCUCCGGCAUCCAUCCUGCGCCGAGUCCGCGUGCAGGCCCCGAGGUGCGUCACACCACGGCGCGGCACGCACACACACACACACAACGCAAAAGGGUGCGCGUCCAAGCGUCCCUCGACGACCGCGCCUUCCAGUCCAUUUCCUCCGAGCGCGCCGUCUAGAAGCGCGAACAACGCGUGGCUAAUCUUGAGAUUGGCCUGUCGCGCUAUUACUGAAAACGGUGCCGCCCCGCUGCACGAAAGCUUUCUUGCACGGAUCGCUUCAUUGGCUGAAUGAAAGAUCGAUUCGAAGUCAGCGCUGCGUAUGUGAGCGCGCUUGAUUCUCUCCGGUUCGAUCAACAUCACGUGAGCCGGAGGAAACUUAUAAGUGCGCUCACCACACGCAAUUUAAAGCGGCUCGACCGGAUUAAACUGCGUGCUUAAUUCGGCUGCACCAGGUUUAAUCCGGCUCGACCGAUGGCGGUCGAGCCGGUUUAAGCUCGUUCCUUCUUGGGCACUCUGAUCCUUGUUUCACUCGUCAACGAGUAUAUAUCUAUGGUAACAAGGCACAUACCCGCUACAGUCUUCAUGCCAGCAAACUCGUAAUCCGACAAAUUAGUUCCAUUAGAACUAUACGAGAUGCAUAUAAGGCAGUUCUGUAUUCCUUUCCUUUUUUCGUGUCUUCGCGCAGAGAAAUUAAAUAGCUUAUUUGAAGUCAACGCCGAGUCUAUGUUUUCGCUUCCAUUUUUGCUGUUCAGCCAUAAUUCACCGAUUAGCCCACGCUUGAACUCAGUUCA